rnacentral:tRNA from 1 species
UGUUAGGUGGCUGAGGGUUAGGCGAUAGACUGUAAAUCUGUAGACGAAAUUUAUAUUUCUCUGAC